rnacentral:ncRNA from 4 species
GCCCACCCAGGGACGCCA